UACGGAGGAUCCAAGCGUUAUCCGGAUUUAUUGGGUUUAAAGGGUGCGUAGGCGGCCUGUUAAGUCAGGGGUGAAAGACGGUAGCUCAACUAUCGCAGUGCCCUUGAUACUGAUGGGCUUGAAUGGACUAGAGGUAGGCGGAAUGAGACAAGUAGCGGUGAAAUGCAUAGAUAUGUCUCAGAACACCGAUUGCGAAGGCAGCUUACUAUGGUCUUAUUGACGCUGAGGCGCGAAAGCGUGGGGAGCGAACAGG
rnacentral:rRNA from 1 species